GAUUUCACCAAGAGAUCGCUGCAUGCAUUGCAAAGCAAGGCUGAUUUUUUUUUUUUUUUUUUUUUUUGAGGGAGCCCUUUGUUAAGAUCUUGGCAGCCCAUCUCAGCCAGGAAGACAGAACUGCUCUGUGCUGAAGCUGGAGCUGGCACAUCUUCCUCGCAGUGUGCAAAGGCGGUGGGGAAGGCUGCCAUCUCAUGGUGAGCCUUGCACGGCUCCAGCACGCUGAGCGAACUUACCUUGCAGCUGGUUUCCAGGCCAGGUUGCUCCUCAGCACGUUUCCUCCACAAAUUGUGUGUGCACCUCUGCAGAUUGUGUGUGCACCUCCAGAAGAAGCCAGGGCGCUUCAACUUUUUAACUUUUUGUGCUUUGGCUUUGAAACCAAUGCUGCCAGAGCCUAGACUUUUCUGGUUUCUUGCCUUGCCAACAGUUUGUGUGAGAGCAAAAUGGUAGUUAUGAAAAACCAUGGAGGCAAGGCAAUCGCCCAUCUGAGGAGAGGGUGAUCAUCACGGAUGGUUUUAGUGGCCGCAUGAGACUGACACGCUGCUGUCUGUGACAGUCGCCUUGCUGAGUCACAGCCCUGAAUGGAAACUCCCCUGGAACCGCUUGCGGGUUGUAACUCAUAAUUUUGGGAUUCUUUGGUAUUCAUCACUAACCUUCUGCUGUGGCUCACACGUCCUACACUCACGCUCGCUGUCUGUCCUCUGCUUCCUGAAAACGCAUCAGCACUCGCCCAACAUGGGCUGGAAGAUACCAGCCGUGGGCUCCCUCUCCUCUCUGUGGGACGUGGUAGCUCUGCAGCAGGCUUUGUGGUGUUCCCAGAAGGCUCCAGAAAACAGAAAUCUGUCACCAGCUUUGGCCAGUAAGACCCUGUACUUGAAAUGGAAAAGGCUAUGCUGAGCCCCACCGCUCACCACCUUCUCAGCAGUGCCAGGACAACCACAGGCAGUAAUCUGUCUCAGUGGAAGGCUGAGGCUGAAAAUUAAUCUGCAUACAAAAAGGAACUGGCUAAGAGCUGCAGUGGGUUAAGAAACAAUCCAAGCUCCCAGAUCACUGAAAGACUUUUCUGGCCAACCAAGGGUGAAGUCCUACAGGUAAUACCGGGACCGUGCUAAGGCAACCGUUUCAGACCAGCCUGAAAAGGCAUUCAUCAUGACCUUUAAGUGCAUAUUUUCCAUUGGCUUUGUUCAGAUUGGUGCUGCCAGUUUGUGGUGAAACAGGAAAGAGAGCCAUCUUCCAAAAAUGUUGUGAACUUUCUAAAAGAAGUGGAACCUGGUAGCUUUCACAGCUCUCGCUACCACACAGAGUUGCCUUGGGAAGAGUGAAGGUAUGAAUUGGAGAAAGAUGGAACACAUGGAAAAAAAAGAGCAGAGUGGCUGAAAUACCAAAAAAAAAAAAAAAGCAUCUAUGCAUGCGUAGACCUUUGACUCUGAAAUUUUAAUCUAACUUUCUCCUUCUGAAAGUCAUGAAAUGAGCUUAGGGUACUUGCUGGGGUGGGCUCUGUGAAUUUUUCACUGGAUCUGCCUCUGUCUCUGUAAAUGGAGAAGACAACCAGCUUAAACCAACUGCCCAGUUCAAAGUUGAGAUGAAUCCCUCUUUUUCGUGAAAUCAUGACAUUUUCCUUUCUCUUUAGGAGGGACAUUACAGGAAAGUAAUACUUGUGCUCCGGAAUGACCUCAACUAAGACCCGAUUCAACCCAAAUAUCACAACAGGUUUGGGUCCCAUCUUUCUCAAAGUGAGUGAUGUCUUACAAUACCUCAUCUGUGAGCCAGGAAGCUGAACCAGUAUCUGUUUUCAGUCAGUUCUAGUUCAGGUUCAGCUGUGGAUGGAGUUGUUCCUGUUCAGUUCUUGUUAAACCCAUCAAAACUUUCAGAAAGCAGUUUAGAUUCAAUAUAAGAAAAAAAGUCCUGAAUGAUUUGGACCAAAUUCAGUUCAACAUUCUGUGUUAACAGAAUCUGGAAAGAAGCUGAUCUCCAGCUGGGACCAUAAACACAUACUGAAAUAAAGAGAUUUACUUCUUUCAUUUAUCAUUUAGAAAAGAAUGGGAGCUACGCUUGUCCUUGCACGAUUUUACUGGCACUCGUACAUUGUAUAAUGUAUGCCUGCCAUCCUGACAGAGAUCCAUUCCAGAAAAUAAUCCAUGACCAUUAUGGAUGUGAAUUGCAUUCCUUUUAAAUAAUGAGAAGAGACUGGAGAAAAUCUAAACUACUUUAAGAGAUGACCAAGAGACACUUUUCAAUAGAAUGGAUUUUAUUCUCCUAAUAAGGAGAAGUCAUGUUGUACAAUAACUGUAUCAUCUCAUUCCCUCAGUAAAGUUUAUGAAGAAAAGACUGACACAUUUUUUCUUACUGCUUAUAUAUUAUGCUGAUCCACGUCAGUAGGUAUUAAUUUAGUAAGCUGCUACUUUUGUGCAAAAAUGGAUUGGUAUGAAUACAGCAAAAACCACCUUAGAGUGAUGUUUUUAGGACUGAUUUGCCCUGGCCUUGCUCUAGUGAUCAGAUGUGGUAUUCAGAUUAAAACAAGAAAAGACAGCCAGGACAAGGUUUCCAGCUGUUAUUAAUGAAGCAUUUCUGCUUAAUCCCCACGGAAGGCACAAAAUCAACAUUGUCAUGGUUCUGCUUUGAAAAAUCC